ACAUGGUCGACGCAGGACAAAAUGUGGCAUCUGUCCUUAUCAGCAUAAUAUCUGAUACGGGUUGUAUUUGGACGCAAUAUAUUAAACUUAUUCUUGAAUGUUGGCUGAGUGCUUGAAGCCUGCUUCACCGCCGCCGCGCGUCGGCCAGGUACAGCACAAUCUUCGGGAUUUGGGGUUUACCGA